UCUCUUCGGGGAUGAUUAACCGGCGCACGGGUGAGUAACACGUGAGUGACCUGCCUUUUAGACUGGAACAACUUACCGAAAGGUGAGCUAAUGCCGGAUGAGUUAUAUAAGUGCAUGUUUAUAUAGGAAAAGUUGGGGAGACCUGACGCUGAAAGAUGGACUCGCGUCCCAUUAGCUAGUUGGUAGGGUAAUGGCCUACCAAGGCGACGAUGGGUAGCCGGCCUGAGAGGGUGGCCGGCCACACUGGGACUGAGACACGGCCCAGACUCCUACGGGAGGCAGCAGUGGGGAAUUUUGCGCAAUGCUCGU
rnacentral:rRNA from 1 species